AUUGAACGCUGGCGGCAGGCCUAACACAUGCAAGUCGAACGCGUGGCGGACGGGUGAGUAAUGUCUGGGAAACUGCCCGAUGGAGGGGGAUAACUACUGGAAACGGUAGCUAAUACCGCAUACCAUCGGAUGUGCCCGGAUGGGAUUAGCUAGUAGGUGGGGUAACGGCUCACCUAGGCGACGAUCCCUAGCUGGUCUGCGAGGUUGACCAGCCAAACGGGAACUGAGACAGGGUCCAGACUCCGAGGGGAGGAAGCAGGGGGGAAUAUUGCACAAGGGGCGAAAGCCGGAUGCAGCCAGGCCGCGUGUAUGAAGAAGGCCUUCGGGUUGUAAAGUACUUUCAGCGAGGAGGCGUUACUCGCAGAAGAAGCACCGGCUAACUCCGUGCCAGCAGCCGCGGUAAAC
rnacentral:rRNA from 1 species